rnacentral:sRNA from 1 species
GAGUUAGAGCCAAGAAUGACUUGCCGGCCGGUGAUCAUAGAUUAUUGCUGUAGAGUGUAAAAUGAGCUGCCGGAAGUCAUUCUUGCUCUACUUAGCUC